rnacentral:rRNA from 1 species
GAUGAACGCUGGCGGCGUGCCUAAUACAUGCAAGUCGAGCGAAUGGAUUAAGAGCUUGCUCUUAUGAAGUUAGCGGCGGACGGGUGAGUAACACGUGGGUAACCUGCCCAUAAGACUGGGAUAACUCCGGGAAACCGGGGCUAAUACCGGAUAACAUUUUGAACCGCAUGGUUCGAAAUUGAAAGGCGGCUUCGGCCGUCACUUAUGGAUGGACCCGCGUCGCAUUAGCUAGUUGGUGAGGUAACGGCUCACCAAGGCAACGAUGCGUAGCCGACCUGAGGGGGUGAUCGGCCACACUGGGACUGAGACACGGCCCAGACUCCUACGGGAGGCAGCAGUAGGGAAUCUUCCGCAAUGGACGAAAGUCUGACGGAGCAACGCCGCGUGAGUGAUGAAGGCUUUCGGGUCGUAAAACUCUGUUGUUAGGGAAGAACAAGUGCUAGUUGAAUAAGCAGGCACCUUGACGGUACCUAACCAGAAAGCCACGGCUAACUACGUGCCAGCAGCCGCGGUAA